GGGAGGGAGAGUUUCAACGAAGUGUCCUGAGAGGGAACAAAUUUGAAGCACUUGAGUGAUGAUGUUGCGCAGCUAUUGGAUGAUGGUCGUUGAGCCACGGCCGACGUCGGUGACAGCAAAAGAUUCGAACAAGAACCACAGCGUCGCUGAGAGGAACAAGAACGACGAGAUGAAGGAGAACCACAGCGUCGCAGAGAAGUGGAAAGAAUGACAGCAUUGCAGAGCGAGAAGGACCAAGGGGAAGAAUGAAGGAGAAAUGGGUUCCCUCCUCUUGUUGUUGACAGAGAGGAAUGAGGAGGACAAAGGGUAACGCUGGAGCCAAAAUAGGGAUUUGGCUAUUUUAGGAUUUGGGUUUGUGUUCCCGAUUCCAGGCUACGCCAGCUCCCGUUCUGAUUCCAAUUCCAAUUCUCAGUUCCGGUUCCUAUAAGGACCGAGAACCAAACCAAGAACUGGUGGUUUCUCAAAAAUUAGAAUCGAGAAUCUACCCAGCCCUUCAUAGAACCAGAAAUCGAACCAGACCUGCCAAUCGGGUUCUCCGGUUCUUGAUUCCAUCCUAAAAUCACACCCACCCUUAGAACCAACGACCAACCUAGGGGCCUUGCCAGAAUUCAUCAUGCUCAGACCGCUAUAUGCUCGGUGUAAUUUUUAGCAAUUUUAUAAGUGAGGACCCGAAAUUUUUUCCAAAAUUUCCAUAUUUGGCCAAUUGAAAAAUAUUUUUGUUUUUGGUAAGUAGAUUACUCUUUAUUUGCAAGACUAAACUGCCAAUUGAAUUUUUUUAUUUUUUAUUUUUUAUUUUUUUUAUUUUUACUCCUUUCAUGGGUGAUCCGGUCAAACACGUGCCGUGAAAAAAAAGUUUAGUAUGGCAAAAGUCGCAUUGCUAGGCCUAGCGAUGGCGAGGAAUUUUGAGAGCUUGAGGGAAAGAGUUGCUGAGUACUCUAAGAAAAAGAGACAAAUGCAAUGAAUAAAAGAUUGACCGACUUUCAAGUAGAUAUGUACAGGAAGUGAUCUCACACCUUGUAGCUUUAGAUUCACAAAGAGAAAUGGAAUGCUUCGUUUUGAUCUUGUGUCUGCACCUCCUCUGGGCUUGUUCCAAGCUCUCUCUUUCUUUGCCAGAGGAGGCCGAAAAGCUCGGCCCUCCAACCUUUCCCCCAGUCCAUGGCCUCUUCCAAUCAUCGGCAACCCCCUCCAGCUCGGAGAUCUUCCCCACAAGUCCCUUGCCAAGCUCGCUCUCACUUAUGGCACCAUCAUCAAACUGGAACGCGGCUUUGUGACCAGAGUCGUGAUCUCUUCACCGGCGCUCGCCAAAGAAAUACUCCGAACCCACGAUGCUGUCUUCUAGAAUCGCGUGGUUCCUGAUUCCGUCAUGGCCCAUGACCAUGACAAACUAAGCAUGCUCUGGGUACCCAUAUCUCCUCCCUUCAGAUACCUCAGGAAACUAUACAACUCGCAUAUCCUUUCCAGCAAGAAACUCGAUUUGAAGCAACACCUUCGCAGCAAGAAAGUGCAAGAGCUGAUCACGUUUGUCAGAGAAUGCGUGUAUGUGUUGGAAGGAGAAUUUGUUUUUAUCUAUUAAGAUUGCAGUUGAUAGGGCAGAUCAUAGACAUAGAAUAUUUUAGGAAAAACAAUAUUGUGCAUAUAUUCUUUUUCUUCUUUUUUUUCCUCCUCUCUUGUAUUACAAAUACCGACACUUCUUGUACAUUUAGUAAUACAAAAAAUACACAGAACCUUUUUCUCCAUUGUUCUGCAUUUCCUUUCAUGGUAUCAAAGCAGCUUUUCUUAUCCAUCUUCCGCACCAUUCUUUCCGAAUUGCCUCCAAUUGUCUUCUGUUUUUUGUUGCUGCAAAUCUCCAUCUGCAGAACAAAGACAGCACAUUGAAAAGAGGAAUUCAAUAUGCAGAACUCCAACAACUCAGAAAUCCAAAAUCCAAAUCAACCCAGAAACACAACAGAGGAGUCAUCCGACCAAUUUGCAUUCGCUCCAGUCACCGAACAACUUCCUACUCCAACCACCAAGCAACUUCCUACUCCAACUUCAUGGUUGUAUGCACCAUGGUUCCCAGUUCAAGGACCAUGGGUCGCCGGACCAAACCAACAAUGGGCUAGCUACAACCCAAAUGGAGAACCCAAAUCCAAUCCGAGUGGGUCAGGAAUGAAUCCCUAGCCGAGCUUCCCACCCGGGUUUGCGCCACUCAUUCUUCCACCCAUCGCCGGCCGUCCAGAACCCGAAGAUGCCCUGUACACAUCAUCAACCGACGGCCCAGAGCUACAACUCAUCACUCUUUAACUCACCAGACCGAAUCACUACUCAGCAUAGGCGAGGGAUUUUCGGCGAGCUCUUGUAACCAAAGAUAAGGAUGGAUUCCUUGACGGAUCCAUCCCCUUUCCGAUCGAUGAAUGCCUGCAGCGCCAUUAGCGCAAAUGCAAUCAAUUAGUACGCAUGUGGAUAGGAAAUUGUGUCGCUGGAGGUCGCAGCUGGGCUUCCUCCAACUCAAGACACGAGAUUAAUGUGGAAUAACAUAAAUGAAAUGUACAGGAAGCUCGACAGGAUGAAGGUUUUCUCACUAACUCAAGCCCUCGCCGAGUUGAAAAAGGGGAACCUCUCGGUUACCGCCUGUUUCAACCGGCUCUCGGCGCUCUGGAACGAGCUUGAGUCGACCAAGGAGCAGCUUGAAGGACCGGAGUCCACACUCAAGCAAUAUCAAGCGAUCAAAGAUCGCGAGAAAGUGACAAGAUUCCUGUUAGCCCUAAACGAGAGCUACAUACCUUUUCGUACCCAGAUUUUAGCCAUGGAGACCGUCCCCCCACUCGGCCGCAUCUUCCAGCUCGCUGUCCAGGAGGAGAAUCAACGAAUGGCCGCCGCCAGAACUGAAAAAAGGGGAGAAAGCAUGGCUCUCGCUGUGCCGGCAAAGUUUUCCGACUGUUCUCACGACGGCCUUCGUGCGCCGCAGGGAGCCCCAAAUUCGGGAGGGAACCCUAGCUCCUUCGGGGAAAAUGACAAUCACGAAUGGAACCCUAAUUUUAGGGCUUCUCGAACGGACAGCCAAGAUCAGAAGACUGGAUCCAACGGCUCCUAUUCGUUUGACAGAGCUAACAGUCGAGAUAAGCAGGGGCGCGGAUAUGACGGCCCAAAUUUAAUCCAACCAAACCGUGUAGAUGAAAGGAGAAGUCACGGAUCUGACGAUUCUCAUUUUAUCUCGUAUGGGCCUAAAUCCAGUAGUCAUUAUAAUGCCACAUCAUCACAAAAGGGAGAAAGCCACAACUACAAAUUUAAAGGUAAAUAUUGUGAAUAUUGUCGGCGUCCUCAUCAUACCAUUGAGACAUGCUGGAAAUAACAUGGUAGACCCACUGACAAAGAAAAGAAAGGAAAAGAAUUUUCUGCUUACCAGGUGUCGGCACAAGGAUAUGACAAAGCUCAUCAACCUAUAUCCCAGGAUCAAUAUCAACACAUAAUGAAGGCGCUAAAUCAGCUACAGACAGUUGACAAAAGUGCAAAUUUCUCAGGUACUUCAUCAAACAAGACUAAUAAUAUUUCAGUUGAUGCGUGGAUUAUUGAUUCAGGCGCCAGUGAUCACAUAAUUUGUCACGAAUAUUUGUUUUCUAGUACCUCUACAAAGCCUGAUUCCAUAAAUGUUUGACUUCCAACUGGAAAUAUUACUGAUGUCAAAAAGAUUGGCACUGUUCAGCUUAGCCCAAACAUUAUCCUUAAAAAUGUUCUCUAUAUCCCAGAAUUUGAAUUUAAUCUUAUAGCUGUUUCCAAAGUCUGUGAGGCCAAUAAUUGUCGAGCCAAUUUCAAUUACGAAAAUUGUUCCUCUCAGGACCUUUCGACUGGGAAACUGAUGGGCUUGGGUAGAAUGGAACAAGGGCUGUAUUUCUCAAUCAAUUUCCCCAAAGAUUUUGAUCUUUCAUCUUUGAAUAAAGGCGUUUCUUGUAAUGCUUUUGCUGCAAAUAAAAUUUCACUUUCCCAUAAACGUUUGGGUCAUAGUGCCUGUUUUCCAUGUUCUGAUUGUAAAGUAUGCCCCUUGGCAAAACAAACGAGACAUUCAUUCCCAACUAGUGUAUUUCGAGCCACUAGUACUUUCUCAUUAGUACAUAUGGAUAUUUUGGGUCCUUAUCAUACACCACAUCAUGAUGGAUCUCAAUUUUUUCUUACUAUUGUGGAUGAUUAUUCUCGUGCCACUCGAGUAUUUCUCAUACAGUCCAAAAGUCAGGCUUUCUCUUGUCUGUUGAAAUUCUUAUCCAUGGUUAAAAAUCAAUUUGAUAAGCAUGUUAAGAGGAUUCGUACAAACAAUGGAAGUGAAUUCUUUUCCAAGGAGUAUCAAUCUUUUCUGUCAUCACAAGGAAUUCUCCAUGAGAGUUCUUGUGCUUACACUCUGCAACAGAAUGGGAUUGUCGAGCGAAAACAUCAACAUCUCCUAGAAGUUGCUCGUGCACUAAAAUAUCAAGCCUCCAUUCCUGAAUCUUUUUGGGGAGAUUGUGUGAUCACUGCGGCUUACUUGAUUAAUCGCAUGACAACUAGAAUAUUAAAAGGUUGCACUCCUUUUGAGAUGCUCUUUGGUAAGCAACCAGACAUUAGUCAUCUUCACAUGUCUGGCUGUCUUUGCUACAUGACGAAUGUUCGGUAUCGACAUAAAAUGGACCCCCAUGCUCUUCGGUGUGUCUUUAUGGGAUACGGCACCCUACAAAAGGGUUAUCGAGUUAUGGAAAUAUCUACCGGUCGCUUCUUUGUUAGUCGUGAUGUUAUAUUUCACGAGGAUAUAUUUCCCUUUCAAGAAAUGGGAUCUUCUAAUAAGGCGUCCAUGACUGAAUCAGGCCAUCGACAAUUUUUAUCAGUGAAGGAUAUUUCUGUGUAGCCACAAUACAUCUUGAUUAGACCAAAUCAGUCGUCUCCCGACCCAUGUUCUGCAGCGACAUGUCCUGACUCACCUGUUCUCACCAUUGGGUAUUCUGAUUCCCCAGCACGUCAGACUAGUGAUGACUCUCCAGCAGCAUGUAGUGAGCUUCCUUUGUCACCGCAACAACAUAUUGAACAAUCAUCCCCAACAGUUGACAGGCCUAGACGCUCAGGACGACUAGUUCAUCCCCCGACAUGGACAAAGGAUUAUAUUUGCUCUACCUUGCAAGCUUCAGGUACGCAAUACCCAGUAUCCUCAUAUGUAUCUUUUGGUCGAUUAUCUCAGGAACACAUGUGUUGCAUCAGUCGGAUAUCCGAAGAACAAGAGUCGUCUUCUUAUGAGGAAGCAACGAGUGAUAUCCGUUGGCAAAGGGCCAUGAAAGAAGAGAUUGUUGCUCUCCAAGAGAAUAACACUUGGGACAUCGUCCCUCUACCUGCUCACAGAAGCCCCAUUGGCUGCAAAUGGGUUUAUAAAAUAAAAUAUAAGGGAAAUGGUUCAAUUGAGCAAUACAAAGCUCGGCUUGUCGUAAAGGGAUUCACGCAACGUGAAGGAUUUGACUACCAUGAGACUUUUUCCUCAGUUGCUAAAGAGGUGACUAUUCGCUCCUUUCUGGCAAUUGCUGCAUUACGCAAUUGGGAGUUACAUCAAAUGGAUGUCAACAAUGCCUUUCUUCAUGGAGAUCUUGAUGAAGAAAUUUACAUGGAGGUUCCACAGGGAUUACAUCGACAAGGGGAGUCUCGAGUGUGCCGUCUCCACAAAUCCCUAUACGGGCUUAAACAAGCAUCUAGACAGUGGUAUGCAAAAUUCACCACGGCACUUACAAAUGCAGGUUUUCAACACUCGAAGCAUCAUUAUACAUUAUUCACAUGGACCAAAGCUACUUCAUCAAUCUACUUAUUGAUUUAUGUUGAUGAUAUACUUAUCGUGGGAAAUGAUGAUGUUGCAAUUCUAAAGUUCAAAAUCAUCCGGCUUUCCAUAUCAAAGACUUGGGUCCUCCAAAAUAUUUUCUCGGUAUCGAAAUAGCUCGAUCCAGUGAGGGAAUUUGUCUCAAUCAGCGAAAAUUCGUCCUGGAAAUCAUAUCAGAUGCUGGAUUAUCGGGAUGCAAACCAACUGCUGUACCUAUUGAGCAGAACAUCAAAUUGACAACAUAUGAAUAUGAUGUAAGUUCUUCCUCUCCAAAUGAAGAUUCACUACUCAAGGAUCCAUCCGGAUACCAACGACUUGUUGGCAAAUUAAUCUAUCUUACCAUGACCAGGCCUGAUAUAUGCUAUGCAGUACAAAUACUUAGUCAAUUUAUGCACAACCCGAAGCAAUAACAUAUGAAUGCAACACUGAAGGUUGUAAAGUACUUGAAGGGAUGCCCAGGACUUGGAAUUCUACUAUCUCGAGAUUGCAACAUGAAGAUGACAGCAUAUUGUGACACAGAUUAUGCUACUUGUCCCAUGACAAGAAGAUCCAUCACUGGCUUUUGCAUCAAGCUAGGAAAAUCUUUGAUUUCAUGGAAAACAAAGAAACAGUCAACAGUUUCAUUGUCAUCAGCAAAAUCAGAAUAUCGAGCCAUGGCAAAGACUGUUUGCGAGAUAGUUUGGAUACGAGGACUGCUUUCAGAUCUUGGUGUGCAAGUCAACGGAGCAAGUGAAUUGUUUUGUGAUAAUGAUGAUGCGCUAAAAUUGGCAGCGAAUCCAGUUUUCCACGAGAGAACAAAGCAUAUUGAGGUUGAUUGUCAUUUUACUCAAGAAAAAAUUCAACAAGGCAUCAUUACAACUCGAGGAAUUGGAACUGUAGAACAGCCAGCAGACAUGUUCACUAAGCCAUUAUGCCGAAGACAACAUAGAUAUUUGUUGAACAAGCUUGGCGCCCAAGACAUUUAUAGGCCGCCAGUUGAGGGGAGUGUUGGAAGGAGAAUUUUCUUUUUAUCUAUUAAGAUUGCAAUUGAUAGGGCAUAUCAUAGACAUAGAAUAUUUUAGGAAAAACGAUAUUGUGCAUACAUUCUUUUUCUUGUUUUUUUUCUCCUCUCUUGUAUUACAAAUACCGACACUUCUUGUACAUUUAGUAAUAUAGAAAAUACACAGAACCUUUUUCUCCAUUGUUCUGCAUUUCCUUUCAGUAUGCCGGCGAGGCAGUGAAUAUCAGCGAGGCAGCUUUCAGGACCAGCGUUAACGCAAAAUCAAACAUGAUUUUCUCUUUGGACAUGAUGGAACCUUUGAAUCAGCGAGAAAGCUGAAGGAAGUUGAGGUUGAGGUUGAGGUUGAGGUUGAGGUUGGAAAGCCUAACCUGGCAGACUACUUUCCUGUGCUCAAGAAGAUCAGCCCGCAUGGUUCGAAGCAUCGCUUGAGUUGCAUUUCAAGAUCUUUGACAUCUUUGACAACCUGGUCCAGAGAAAGUUGCAGCUGAGGAUGGAGACCGGUUGGAUCAAGUGUAACGAUGUUUUGGAUAAUCUUCUUGAUUUAUUUGAAGAUAAAAAUGAGACCCUGGACAUGUCCUUAGCCAAGCAUCUAUUGCUGGUACCGUCUACUUGUAUCAAGCCUCCUUCUAUGUGAAGAUUAAUAUCUAAUUUCUUGGUACAAAACCUUUGAUUUGCAACAUCGGUCAUGCAUGACGUAUUCGCCGCCGGUAAGAAAACCACUGCAAGUACUCUGGAGUGGGCGAUGACAGAACUACCUUGCAACUCUGAAAAGCUAUUGAGAGGCCAACCCGAGCUCUAUCAAGUCAUCAGCAAAGGCAAGCAGAUUGAAGAAGCCGACAUUCCUAGUUUACCCUAUUUACAAGCUAUCGUGAAAGAGAAUUGCCUACUUCACCCAGCAGCUCCUCUCCUUGCUCCUCGGAGAUCUGGAGAAGAUUUCAUUGCAGGCGGUUUCACAAUUCCAAGGGGUGCAAAGUCCUCAUCAAUGUAUGGGCGAUAGGUCGAGAUUCUAGCGUCUGGGACGAUCCAAACAAGUUCAUGCCCCGAUAGGUUUCUUGGAUCCGAUAUCAAUGUCAGGAGACAAAACUUCGAGCUGUAACCUUUUGGUGGCGGCAGGCGGAUUUGCCCAGGACUGCCACUGGCCAUGAGAAUGUUGCCUUUGAUGCUCGGUUCGCUCAUCAAUAUUUUCAAUUGGAGGCUCGAAGAUGGUGUUACUCCUGAGAACAUGAACAUGGAAGACAAGUUCGAAAUAGCCAUCCAGAAGGCUGAAUCUCUCAAAGCUGUGCCCAUUCCUAUAUGAAAGAAGAAAAAGAAAUGCACGUUGAGGUUUCAUUCUAUGUAAAUUAUGUUCGUCGCAUGGUCUAUUUAUAGAAAAAAGUCUAUGCAAUAUUUUUGGUAAAAUGCACAAAUUUCUUGAAUUUAGAUCCCGGAAAAACUAAUAUAUAAGUGAAUAUAAUUCCCAGUUUCAACGGUGAUAAAAAAAAAGUAAUGGUGUGUGAUGAUGGUGAAUUUAAUAGAACUUUGUAGCGGGUGGCAAGCUGCUGCUUAAAACAUUGUUUUUUUUACUUCAAUCAUUUAUCGUCUAAGUUGCUUAUUUGGUUUAACGUCGUAUUCAAGACAAAGGUUGUCCACUAGGACAAAAACGUUAUCGGAUUAUUUUUGGUCAAUAACUUCAUCAAAUUAGGAGCAGCAUCAAAAUAUCAUUUUGUCCUCAUCUCUAGAAGCUUCAAUUACUUUAUACACCGCCAAAUUCAACAUCCGAUCUUUUGUAAUUAUAAAAUUCUUCUAUACCCUGCCCAAAAAUAUAGAUGAAAAAUUCUGGAUGUAUCAAUUCAUAAUAACUUCUUGGUAACUCAACAAUACUUUUACAAACUUACCAACCUUUUCUUAUGGUAUAUAGAUUAGAAAUGUAGUACUAUUUUACGAACUUUCAUUUAUAUAACUACCAGCGUUUAAUUUCAUUAAUUUUAUAUAAAAUUAAUAACCUAAAUCAAAGUGACUAUCAACUUUUGUCAAAUUAGAUUAUCACUAAGUUAGUUGGGAGUUACUUACCAAUGACUCUUUUUUUUUCAGUUUACCAACUUCUCCAUUAAGCUACUAAUUUUUAUUUGCCUCAAUUAGCAACUCCUUAUAUUUAACUCUUUUUUAAAAGUCACCAAUCUUAAUUAGCCAACUUUUCUUCCAUUAAGUUGUCGCAUAGUGUUGGGUUGUCAAUACUCAUUUGAGUUACUCACCGUUGUUAUUUUUUAUUUCUAAUUUUUCAAUUUUUCUUAUCGUCUGUGAAGUUUUAUUUGCAUUUCUUAAAACUACUUAAGUUUACUUAACUAUCAGUUAAAUAAGAGCCCACAUAAAAGAGAGAUAGAGAAAUAAAGUAGGCGCAGCCCACUUCAGCUCAAAUAAAGCUUUAGGAAGACUCCUUAUUCUUCUUCAUGCACCGUUGAUGAACUUGAGAAGAGAGACGCAGAGAAAAGAAAGAGAACUGCACCUAGAAAGAAGAGAGAAAUUGCAAUGGCUCGUUGGAAAACGUCAAUUGACGCGCGACUAUGCUUUUUACAUGCAGUUUGUAAGAGUUUCUCGCUGUUUUUAUCUCUUACAAGUUGGACACCAGUGAUGCUAUGGCCGAGGUCGAGCUGUACAAUAGAAUUAAUUAGGUCCCUCGCACUCCUAGCAACUUGUAGGAUUCAACAGAUUGCGAUUUGGACUUCCCGUUUUCGGGAGAAACCAAUUUUGCAAAAUCCUUGGUACGUGCUGAACAGUAACUUGAUUAGCAGCAUUCGGUGCCUAAGUUUGUCACAUGCCGGCUAGAUUUUGGACCAGCCAAGUUUAGGGCUUUAAGUACACCAAAAGAACUUUCUGUUUGACAGUAAGCACACUUCAAUUGGAGUUCUGUAGAGAAAGAUAUGACGCGAGAAAGUUUGUCGCGUGAGUGGUUGUUCUUCACGUUGGCGGUUAUUCAGGAUAGUUGGCAUUUUUUUAGGCCUCUUGUUGACUAAAAAAUAGUGUCAUCUAGUUGAUUUUUAGUUAAGACAGUUGUUUUACUUAAGUUUUGAUGUCGCUUCUUGCUUUAUUGAUAGGAUUUUGAGUACAUCGGAUCGAAUAAGUUACGUUUUUUGGGUUGAGCAUUCCAAGUGAGUAACUUUCUAAUGCGGGACCAUUUGACUUAGGUCCAUCAACUAACUCAACACAAUCAAUGCUCAUUCAAGCCAAGAUAGAAUUUAGACAUAACAUACUAGAAUGGGUCAAGAAUGAAGUUUCCAAUUAAAGAGGUAUCAAUCCAUCGCCUAACAAAGUUACCAAGAAGACGGCUAUUGAUGGGGAUACUGAUUAAAGAGUUACUGAGGAUUACAAAGUUACCACUGAUUAAUGAGUUACCGAUUUUUAGUUCACUAUAUUCGUCAUUGAAAUCGAAGUUAUUCAACAAUUUAUCAAUGGGAGGCUAUUAUAGGCUAUAUCUGCAAGUAUUUGACAAACUUUUAAUGUAGAUAUAUUAUGCUCGAGAAUGAUUGACAAAUUUUGAAGAUAAGGUACAAGGUUGAAGAGUCAAGAAUAUAAGUUCCCAUGUGACUAAUGCAUCUCUAAUUUCCUAGGAGUUCUUUUUGUUAUGUAAGUUUCAACCGUCAAAGCUAAGUUCCUAGGUUUUUAAUUUGUUUCUAAUUCCCAUGUCUUUAAAUGUUUUAGUAGUUCCCUUGGUUUCAUCUCUUAUAUGAAUAGAGGAAACCUCACUAUUGUAACGUAAAUGAUUUUGAAGAAUAAAAAUAAUAUGAGAUUUUUCUCUGUGUGAGCAAAUAUCUUUGGAUGGUAGAUAAUUCUUAUUUCGAUAUCUUUAUCCUUGGAGAGUGAAUAACUCAUUGAUAGUAAGUCAAGUAGCACUUUAUGCUAGACUAAUGAUUUUCUCUUUAGGCAUUGGUAGUGAACUUCUCUUAUCCAGAAAUCCUUGGUGGUGAACUUCAUUUAUCCCAAUCUUUUUCCUUGGUUGGUGAAACGUCCUUUAUACCUUGGUGGCGAUUGUACUCCAUCCAUACUUAUAUUUACCCAUCGAAAGCCAGUCCUGUACACCCCCAUUCCCAUACAUUUAACCCGAAAAUUCCCCAUUCCUGGAAUCACUAGUCCACUCGCGCAUUACUUUAUUCACGGGUUUUGGGCCCCUGACUCGAAGUAGGCUUUAUUACAUAAAGCCCCCUUUUAGUUGUAAACUCUCAUAACCAAUUUUAAAAAUAACCCCAUUUUUACUACACUAACACCGAUCCCCCAACUAAACCUAUUUUUUUUUCAAUCAAAAUAAGCCCCCUUUCUAUUAGCUACUUUUCUUUUUUCUUUUCAUUACUACCUUCUAUUUUAUUUUUCUUCCCUUACAACCCAAUGUGACCGAUAGAAACUGAACUUUCUUUCCAUUUUUUUAGGGCAGCGCUAUUUUCACCCCCUAAAUGACUUUAUCUAUCCAUAUUUACACUAAAAAGACAAAACUACUAUAAUCUUUCAAUUGAUAGCCUUACUCCUUUUUUCUAUUUAUGAUAGUCACCAUAAUUAACCAUUUCACAUUUUUUUAGCAUAUUAAAGAAAAGUACGUUCUCAAAUAUUUCUAUAACAUUUUACAUACACCAGGUAAAAUUGUCUUGCCAGUAGUAACUAAUAAGGACCAAAAAACCUUUUUUAACAUGGCAUAAAACUGAAAAGUCUUUUUUAUCAUUUUUUUUUGUCAGAAAUGAUAGAUACUUUCAUUCAUAAUAAGCAGGACUUACAAGAAGAUAAUAGGUGAUAUUCCGAACAUAAAAUCUCCGAAAGGGCUGGAGGAGGGAAGGACCUCCAAUUUUGAGGUAGUGAAUUCUUACUGUGCAGUUUCGCUAGCAUAUCAGCUGCUUUGUUAGCAUUAUGUGGGCAGUGAAUCAGCUUCGUGAAUGGUAAGCGAGAGAGUAGGCAUGUGCAUUGCUCGAUUAUGGGCUUCACCUUCCAUGGAGUCUUGGCCCAGCCCAAGAUGCUUUGGUGUGCGGUGAAGCAGUUAGUUUCGAACUCCACUUCACUUUGCUGUACUUGCCCGAGUUCUGUCUCUCUCACGUGUAGAUCUGUUCUAUGUUGCAGCAGCUUCAGCCCUUGCAAAAUCGCUAGGGUUUCCACUUGAAUCGGAGAUGAAGCUCGUACCUGCCACACGAAACCAUCGAUCACUUGCCCAGCGUGGUCCCGCAGAAUACCAGCGAUUGAUCCGGUUUGUUCACCCUGUUUCCAUGAGCCGUCAACAUUCAUCUUCCACUUUCCUUCCUCCGGUGGCCUCCACUGGUUCGGUGAGUUCAGAUCUGAGUUCUUAUUUGCUUCUCUUGGCUGCCAUCUGCUGAAAUUUUGAAGAUGAGCUUCUACCAGGUCGACUAUGGUGUUCGGUUCCAGUUUUUGGCCCCUGAAGAUCGAAUUGUUGUGUGCUUUCCAGACAAACCAGAGGAUCAUCACUAGCAACUCUUUCUCGGGUGGAUAUCUGUGUUCUUCGAAUCGGUCCAGUAGCCACUUAUCAAAGCGGGAUAUACUGUUUGGUUCGCACUUGAUUCUCACCCGUGGAUCGUUCCAUAUUUCCUUUGUCCAUUGCAGAGAAGAAACAGGUGCUCGGUAGUCUCCACUUGAUUAUUGCAUAGCGUGCAAAGGGGUUGAGGUAAUACCUUUCUCUUGUAAAGAUUCUCUCUUGUUGGGAUUGCAUUAUGACAAACGCUCCAUAUAAAGAUGCGUAUUUUUUGGGGGAUAGAUAAUUUCCAGAUCUUUGUCCAUAAGGUGCAGGGGGGUUUAAAUGAGGUUGAAGCUCUGUGCUGGUCUGUUGUUGUGUUGUCUGCACAUAUUUUGUUAUAGCUGCUUUUCACCAUAUACUUUCCCAACUUGUUGCCUUGCCAUACUAGAGUAUCUUCCCCCGGGAUAGAACUUAGCGGGAUAGAUAGAAUCUCAUUGCUAUUCUGUAUUCAAAGAGGUGCUGGACUUCUACUUCCUUCCAUCCCCUGUUUUCAUCAUUUAUCAGUUCAGCUACUGUUGUGGGUUCAUCUCUGUUAGCUGGGCCUCCGAUCACACAAAAUUCCAGCCACUUAUCCUCCUGUAUGCUGAUUUUUUUGCCAUCACCUACCCGCCAUUGGAUCUCUUUUUCAAUAGUUUCUCUCCCCACCAUAAUGCUCUGCCAACCCCAUGAAGGACGAUGCCCUUUACCUACCUUCCACAUAUCACCAUUUGGAAAAUAAACCCCUUUAAGUAUUCUGCUCCAUAAGGCUGUAGGUGAUUGAGAUAACCUCCAGGCCUAUUUUCCUAGCAUUGCUUUGUUGAAGUUUACUAAAUCUUUGAAUCCGAGCCCUCCUUCAUCUUUUCUCAUUUUCAAAGCUUCCCACUUCUUCCAAUGUAAUCCGCUGCUGGUUUCGUUUUGCUUCCACCAAAAGGUAGCAAUUCUCCUUUCAAUCGAUCUACAUAUUGAGAUGGGAAUUUUAAAUAUCAACAUCGCGUAUUGAGGGAGUGCUUGGACUCCACUUUUUAUCAAUGUUUCUUUUCCUGCUUUGGACAUAAUUUUCUCUUUCCACCCUGCCAUCUUCAUAUUUACUCUGGCUAGGAUCCAAGCGAACAUUUCUUUCUUUGACUUUCCCCAAUCCGUUGGUAUACCAAGGUAGUUCCCUGUCUUGUCUAUGAUCGAGACUCUAAGUUGUUGAGCAAGAUUCCUUUGUAGAUUUAGAGGACAGCCGCUACUGAAGCUCACACCUGAUUUGUUUAGGUUGACUGUUUGACCCAUGGCAAAAUAAUACUAGUUUAGGACUGCUGCUAGAUUUUGGCAUUCUAAUAAAGUCCCAUCCAAGAAGAAAAUAGAAUCAUCAGCAAAAAGAAGAUGUGAUAGAGUAGGGCAAUGUGAAUUCAGUGUGUAUCCCUUUUAUGCUCCCGUCUAUCAUAGCUUUGUGCAUUAACCAUGAUAGCACGUUCGACACAAGAACAAACAGAUAAGGGGAUAAAGGAUCUCCUUGUCGUAAUCCCCUUGUUGGUGUGAAAUAUUCCAUAGGCUCCCCAUUGACUUUCACACUAAAAUUUGCUGUUGAAACACAAUGUAUUAUCAUUCUUACCCACCUAGUGUGAAAGCCCAUUUUCAGCAAACAUGCAUUCAGAAAAUCCCACUCUACUCUAUCAUACGCUUUUUGCAUAUCUAAUUUCAGAAUGGCUUGGAAUCUCUUCUUUCUCUUCUUGAUCCUGAGUUGAUUGAUAACUUCUUGAACUAUGAAUAUAUUGUCUUGAAUCUGUCUCCCAUGUACAAAAGCACUUUGUUCAGGACUAAUAAGGUCUGGAAGUCAUCUUUUUAAUCUAUUCGCCAGCACUUUAGCUAUGAUUUUGUAACUGAAAUUGCAUAAACUUAUGUGUCUAAAUUGGGUAAUGCUCUCUGGGUGUUUAACUUUCGGGAUUAGGGAGAUAUGUGUUUGGUUUAAGGUUGGGUCAAAAGUACCUGUUGCAAAGAAUUGCUGAACUAAUUGAUAGACUUCAUGUUUGAGUUCCUCCCAAAAAUGCUGAUAAAAUUGUCCAUUUAACCCAUUGGGACCCGGUGCUUUAAGUGCCCCCAAUUGGAACACCGCUUCUUUGACUUCUUCCAUCGUCACAUUCUCUAGCAUCUGUUUGGUCAUUUCCUCAUUUACAGGGCUAGGGCAUUGGUCUAGGACCGGUUGGAAGUUCCUUGGUCCCACAGUUUCAUAAAGUGUUGAUAGAAUUCCAAGAUUUUUUGCUUAAGCAUUUUCUGCUCCCUGCACCAAGUCUCAUCAUUUAUCUUCAGCAUGGUUAUUUUGUUUCUUAGUCUUCUCUGCACUGUGGUGGCGUGAAAAUACUUUGUGUUUUUGUCUCCCCAUUGAAGCCAGUUGAUUCGCGCCCUAAUUCCCUAAUACUUUUCCUCCUGCCGCCAUAACUUUUCAAUUUGAUCCACUGCCUGCUGGUGUUCCUAUUUGCUGUAGUUGUCAGGAUGUCUAUUUGUUAGGGCUGUUAACUGCUGCUUUAACUCUUUAAUGCGUUUGGCUGCAUUUGGGAACUUGUUUUGGCUCCACUUUUCAAGUUGUUUGGCCACAUUAUGCACUUUGGCUGUGAAGCUGUUUUCAUUUAAGAGACUUCCAUUCCAUGUGUGCUUGAUGAUCUCCCUGCAUUCUGCUUCUUCCGUCCAAUAUGCUUCGAACCUGAAUUGUUUCUUCUUUUUCGGAUUUUCAGGAUGAAGCGCAAUGAGGAGUGGGCUAUGAUCAGAGCCAAUCGCUUGUAGCGCCUAAACCUCAGCAUUUGGGAAGGUCACUCGCCAUUCCAUGGUACAUAGAGCGCGAUCUAAUCGUUUUUUAACCAGUUCCUCUCCUUCUCUAUUGUUAGCCCAUGUGUAUGCACAUCCUUUACUAUCGAUAUCCAUUAGGGAGCAGUCAUUUAAUAGAUCUCGAAAAGCUGCCAUGCGGUAAUAAUCGACUGCCCUUUUUCCAACCUUCUCCCAAGCAUAUAAUAUUUCGUUGAAGUCCCCCAAACAGAUCCAUGGAAGUGUGUUUUGUGCCUGAAUCUCCCUUAAUUGUUGCCAUAAGAUUAGUCGUUCCCCAUAAUUUGUAGGAGCAUAAAGAAAUGUUAUAUGCAUCUUUCUGCCUCUAGUCGGUUCAUAACAGUCCACAUUAAUGAGGUUAUUGUUGCUGAAAAUCACUCGUGUCUCCACCUCUUCAUUCCACAUUAGCACUAAGCCUCUUGCACGCCCUUAUGGAUUCUGUACAAAUUUGUUUGCAUAUUGUAGGCGUUUAACCACACCCUCAACCAUUAACUCCUUGUUCUUCGUUUCCAUUAAAAAAACCAUAUUAGGCCUUUCGAGAGCUACUAAGGCUCUCAGCUCCUGGAACGUCAGGGGGUUGCCCAGCCCCUGACAGUUCCAGCUAAUGAUCUUCAUGAUAUCUUCGGUGGCUUAUUAGGGCUAGUCACCAAAGCCCAAUCCUUUCCUUCCUUCACAAUCUGAACAGGGGUUUCCAAGAGCUCCAUAUCAUCAACUAGUAACAGGGCAUUUUCUUCUGAUCGUCUCUAUUUUUUUUUAUUUCUGAGUCUUCAGAAUUUUCUUUUUAUUGCUAUUUUUUGGUUGAUAGUUUGCUGUGGGAUGGUCCAGACACAUAAUCUACUUCCCUUUGUCUUUGUGACUUUGGUCUAUAACCUCAUCUUCUUGGAUACAAUCGGGAGAAUAACAAUCUUGUCUUUUCUUGUUGUGAAUUACAGCAGCUCGUAACUCUAGAUCACCUCUCACUCCCCUUUCCAUUUCAUUUUCUGUUGCAAGCGUUUCUGGGAUGACUUCAUCAGCCUCUGAAUUCGCUUCUAAUUUACCAUAGAAGGCUACCCAAUAAGGGCUAUGGUCGCGUACCUCCGCCUUUAACCAAGGUCCGUAUUUGCCUGCCUUAUUCUCUGCCCACUUAGUCUGUUCAUAAGGGAUUUCCUCACAAUUAGUGGCAUAGUGGCCAAUUCUUCCACAUGAGUAGCAGUAAUGUGGAAGUCUUUCAUACUUAAAUUCCACCCAUAGCUUCUUAGUCCCAAUGUCCAGUAUUACUCCUGAUUUCAAGGGUGAAUUCAAGUCCAGUUCAACUUUUACCUUGCCUGCUUUGUAUGGACCAUUCCCUUUAGCCUCCAUCUGUAUUUAUACUAUUCGACCCAUUCGUUUAGCCAAUUCAACAAUCACAUUCUCUCUGAACCAUCCUGGUGGUAUCCCUCCUAUAUGAACCCAGAAGGCGCAACAAGAAUACUCAUAACAAUGCUCUGGUAUUUCUGGCUCACAUUGUUUCAGAACUAAAAGAUUACUUGCAAAAGACCACGGGCCUGUUUUUAGAACCCUUUCUUUUUCCUCUUCAGAUUGGAACACGAAUGAGAAUAGCCCUGGUGCUUUUUGUUGACAUUCUACUGAGUCUACUUUCCAUGCCUUUUUCAUGAUGGUAGUAAAGGCUUGGAAAUUAACAUUAGGUUUAGAGAACAACUUACCAAAAAGAGUGAGGUUGCAUUCCUGCUUCUUUGUAGAAGGAAUGUCGCUGGAAACUUCAACCACAUCACUUUCUGUCCAAAGUGAGCCUAGACUUUUACAUAAUGCUGCUAGCCUUAACUCAUUCUCACGCUCUUCUUCCAUUUUGUUGUGUAGGUGUUCGCUGUCUGCAAGUGUAAUCCGCAGAGGUGCAGAGGGUGAACAUAUCAAUUUACUGGUGUUCUAUGUGUUGGGGGUUGCAGUAUGGGUUUAGAUUGAAGGGGGCUCUGUGGGUCUGGUUUGGGAAAAACAGAGAUUGCCACAGCGAUCAAGUAUGGAUGGAGAUAUCGGUGCAACUGGUGGAUAAGAAGAUCUCUCAGCUUUAAUUUGUGGUGGUAUUCGUGGGUUACGGGUGAGAUGAUUCAGUGGAUUUCGGAGGGGAAGAGGCGAGGUUUUACAGAUGGGAGGCCCAGAAACGGGAUAGUUAGGGUAAGGGUUUGGAGUUCAACUUACCAGAUCUGGAGUGCUCUCAAAUCCAUCUGGCGAGCAUCAAAACCAUAAUCACGGUGGGUUCAGAAAUCGAUUUGUGCUAGCAGCCAUUUGAGAAGAGGAUGAAGCUCUACCCUAAGGAGAGAGAGGAGUUGUAAGAACUUGUCUAUUUUUUGUUCCUCUUAUCUCAAAAUCUCUUCUUCUUUUUUUGUAAAAUUUUUAUUAAUCACAUUAAUCUAUAAUAUAUAUAUCCGGCCUAUUUAUUUACUAUAGAAUUUAUCUUUUCCCCUCAUUAUACUAGUGAGAUACUUUUAUACAUAACAUGUAAGAUGUUAAAGGAAUAUAAAAGAAUACACUAAAAAUAUUAUGCACAAUGAGGUAUCUUAAUUUUUUUUAAACAGUAUAUAUAUUAUAUUGACAUUUAUCAAUCUAAAAUAAUAAUAUUUCACUAGCAUUUCCCAAAAAAAAAAAAUUCCUUAAUUUAUGCAAUGUUUUGAUUUAAUUAUAUUUCAUCAACUUAACAAAUUAUCCAUAAAUAUAAUCAACAGCAUGGAAAAGAACUAGAUUUUUGGAAAUUUCUCUUUUCAACAAAAUAAAAUUAAAUUUUAUAAAAGUAAUUCUAACAAUAAUAUCUAUGAGAUUGAAGAGUACUUUAUGAAAAUUGCUUCCUGCAAUACUAGAACUCUUUCCAAAAAAUAGUGAAAAUGGACCUCCAAGAUUUCAAGGGAGGAGGGGGCAGGGGAUCGGAGAUCGGGAAUCGAUCGAUGGAGCGAAGAGAGGCGGCGUUACGGCAGCGAAUGCUGGUGAGAGGGCUGGCAACCUCGGGGCGGGUGGACAGGCAGAGGUUCCAGGUAGGUAGACGAGGGCGAGCCGGAACGUAACUGACACGAUGACCCAUGUCCAGAACCCCGAGUGCGUGAGCUUCUGCUUCUUCGUCUCCGUCUUCUGCUUCGUCGUUUCUCUCUCCUCCAUUUUCGCCAUCGUGGUUCAACGUGUUGGCGUCAGGCGCAUAGGUGGAGGCGGAGGAGAUGGGGGCGACGGACUCCGAUGCCGACGGAGGCAACCGGCGGAGGGGUGUCGGCAUGGGGGUUUGCUGGAAGAGAUGCGCGACUUCGAGGACGAAAGAGAGAGAGAGAGGGGACUAGAGGUUGCGAGGGGGAGGCGGAGGGGUGUCGGCGUCAGAGUCGGGUUCAGGGGAGGAGGCGGAGGCUGCGUUGGACGACUUCGCGAAGGGGGGAGAGAGAGCAGAGCGGACGUCGCGAGAGGGAGGAGGAGGAGGAGAGAAAGUGAAAGAGAGAGAAAAUUGCAGAAAAUUCAAUCCAAAGAGAGAAAUCUUUUGGCGGGAGUCGUGACCUAUCUUUUCUUCUACAGCGAGCCAAGCCAAGCCGAACCUACCCCUCCAUUUUCCAAUGGGUCUCACAUGAUGCGUGUCGAUCUCUGAGUGGUAAGUGCGCACCAGGUCAGCAGAUGACGUGGCGCGCACGAACCACUGAAUAUUUUCUCCUGUGAAGGAGAUAAUACGGUGGCCUUUCCUUUUUCCUUUUUCUUCUUUCUCGUUUUUUUCUCUCUCUCACGUCACUCACGUCCUCUCCGGUCUUCCUCUCUUUCCCUUUUUCUUUUUCUUUUUUUUUUCUUUUUUUCCCUUUGACUUUUUGCCGUACACGCACAAACCUUAUAUAAGGGAAAGAAUUAAAUUUUGGUGCAAUAUUUCACUUCCAAUUUUGCUUAUGUAUAAUUCCCCUAUAUAUAUCGUUAUAUCUUGUGCGAUAUUAUUUUUUGUAUUUUUUAAAUAUUCCAUCCGAAAAUUUCAUUUCUGGUCGAAAAUAUGUCCCUUAGUAUAUGUGAAAAAUCUCGGCGGAAUAUGUGAAAAAUUUUGCGCUCACUGUCAGUCCAAUAAAUAAAUGCAAAAAAUACAAAUUAAAAAUAAUAUACCUAAAAUGUUAUACCUCACGCGAUAUUCUCUUUUUUAUUUUUCAAAUAUUCUACUCGAAAAUUUCUUUUCUGCUAAAAAAUAUGUCCUUUAGUAUAUGUGAAAAAUCUAAGCGAAAUAUGUGCAAAAUCUUGCACUCACCAUCGAUCCAAUAAAUAAAUGCAAAAAAUGCAAAUUAAAAAUAAAUGUACCUAAAUCUACAUUCUAUGCAAUUAAUAUUUUUUUUUCAGGAAUAAAGUUAACCCCUAAUUUUUAAUACGAUAAAUGACUAAAUAAAUCUCCAAAAUUUAGGUGUCAACUAGUUUUCCUUUGUUUCAUGAUAUCCGACUGAAAAAUUUUCUAGUGUUUGGAUCUAAUAUUGAAAAUGAUUUCGAUAACAUGACAUUAUCUUAAGCAAAAAUAUAUAUUUAUUUUAUUAUUUAUUUUAUUUUCUUUCUUUUCUUUUCCUUCUUCCUCUUUCAACCAGUCGCCGAGCCUUUAUUUCGCUUGAGCCUCGUUAGAAUCAAGUGAGCUCAACCUCACUAUGGCAAGGUAGGCGAGGCUCAAGCUCACCAGAGGCUGGCAACCUCAAGCCUCGCUAGGGACCUUGGCCUCACUUGAGGCUAGCCCUCACUGGCCUAUGCUUGUGGCCGGUUGAGGCCAAUGACCAGCGAAGGGAGGAAUAAGGAAAAAAGAAAAAAAAUGAUAAAAUAAUAAAAUAUUAACAAAUCAAGAUGAGCAAUUUUGAAAAAUGUUUUUACUUUCUUAGAUUGGGGAAUGCACUUUCUUGAUUUUAUACAUGAAUAUUUUAUUUGAUCGGACAGUAUUUUUAGUUGACUAAUCAUUUUCAAGGAACUACAUGGGUGAAAAAUGGAUUUUUAGAAAACACUUUCCCUCAAACAAGUACACUAGAAGUUUUAUUUGUAUGUUCCAUUGAGUUGAGUGGCUUAAGUCAUAUCUACCAGCCAAAGCAUGCUCCUAUUACAUGGAGCCAAUGACCCAGAGGCCUUGGCAUCGCACUACGACCGCUAUCUGCUCGUCGUAAAAUUUAUCACUUUUAUACUAGAGUACACGAAAUUGUCUCUGAAAUAUCUUUAUCUGCCCAAUUGAAGUUGUUUUUGUAGUAGAAUACUCUCUAUUUGCAAGACUAAAAUGCCGGGGGUCUUAUUUGACUACUUGAAGUUAAUGGUCGACAAUUAUGCCAUGCCAUGCCAUGCGACACGAGUUUAAAGUUAAUGGUCACCUUCAGCUGUCCAAUCUUGUUUCGCCAGGCGUCUUAUUCGACUACUUGAAGUUAAUGGUCGACAAUUAUGCCAUGCGAUGCGACACGAGUUUAAAGUUAAGGGUGACGUUCAGCUGUCCAAUCCCGUUAAGCCCAAUACCUUCCAAAAUCGACAAUCAUAUAGUGCUUGAUGAGGAAAAAAUAUGAAAUUUAUAGAUCUAAGAGUCUCCAUUCUUUUGGCUUUAGAAUCAAGUCAUUCUGAUCUGAAAAUUAUGUUCUUUUUCCUAAGCUAAAACGGAAUUGAAAUUUUUACUCGAUUUUAUGACUAAGUUUCCAUGUGUAUAAGUCACUUUUCCGAUCCUAUUGGUUGAAUAGUCGACCUUGGACAACAUCACAAUUGCUCUUGAUUUUUCAAAUUUAGUUAAUAUCACAAAAAAUAUAAACAACGGAGGGUAAAACCUCAAACUAGUAUACCUAUCAACUAUCACAUAUUAUUUACUUCAAUAAUUUGAUGAUAUAAAAUCUAACGGAAACUAUUGGGAGAUAAAUUUGUCACUGAUGUACUUGCUUGGGAUUUUUCAUUGUGUUAAUCCCAAAAAAAAAAAAAAAAAAAAACACCAGUAGCUUGACUAUGGAUAUGCUUCAUUUAGUGGCUUUAUUAUGGUCAGAUAGAGUAACUGCCAAAUUAUACGGAAUUUAAGUACUCCAUCUAGCCAAAAAACAUACAUUUGUGAACUAGUAUCAAUGUUAAAUUGUAUCGAUGAUAUGGUUGAAAUGUUUAUCUUUUCUUAUUUUGUGGUAGGUGGAAUUAAAAUAACAAUGCCAUUCUUUCUGUCUAGAUCUUUCAAACAUGAAUUCAAAACUAGUUUAAGCCAACAUCAUAGAAGUUGUGUUUUAGAGGCGGGGCGUGUCUAUAUUGAGUACUAACCUCACAGAUGAGAUAAUAAGUUACGUCAAACAUGAAAUCACUUGCGCUACUCACGUCUUGUCAAUCGCCAUUGGAUUAAUGUUUUAUUCCCAACUCCUAAGUCAGGGCCUUCCGUUUCUUACCCGUCUGAUUGGAAAGAUAUUGAUAUGAUUAUACUGACAGAGAAAUUAUGGUUGAAGACGAUGUAACAGAGCACCGCCUCACACCCUAUACCACGUAUGAUAAUUAUUUUAUUUUUCUAUUUUUCUAUUUUUCUAUUUUUCUGUUCUCAAAAACAGGUUUGGAAUAGACAUUCAUUUGAUAACACAAUUUUAUUUUUCUAUUUUGGAAACAAUUUUUUACUCAAUAAAUAGGUUUAUAAUAAAAAUCAAAAGUAAAAUUUUGUUUCUAUUUUUGGAAUAAAAGUGAGAAAUAAAGAUUCCUCUCAUCACUCACUUUCCUCAUCGCCCGCUGCCUACUUGCCAUUGGUAGCCACCCAUCCAUUGGCCACCUCCCUCCACCACUUAAGAAAGAGAAAUUUUGUGUCAUUAUCAAAUGAAUUUAUAUUUCAGGAAUAGAAAUUUUGUAUCAUUAUCAAACACCUAUUUUUAUUCAAAAACUUGUUCAGAGAAUAGCAAUUAAAAAAAAAAUCUCGAAUAAAAUUGUUAUUAUUCGCGCCUUUCAUUUCUAGCCACUCCUUUUUCAAAGAACUACUUUGACUUUGAAGUGUAUGUUUGUUUCAUGAAAACAUAAUUUUUUUCAAAAAAUAUUUUUCGUAAAAUCAUUUUCUAGGGAAAUCAUUAGUUUUCCUUUGUUUUGUGAUAUGUGAUUGAAAAAUUUCUAGUGUUUGGAUCUCAUAUUGAAAAUGAUUUCGAUAACAUGACAUUAUCUUAAGCAAAAAAAUAAAAUUUUAUUUAUUUUCUUUUCUUUCUUUUCCUUCUUCCUCUCUUCGCUCAUCGUUGAGCCUUAGUGACGGUGAUUGGCCUUGAGUAAGGUUGAGCUAGUCAGAAUCAGGUGAGCUCAACCUCACUAUGGCAAGGCAGAGGCUCAAGCUCACCAAAGGCUAGCGACCUCAAGCCUCGCUAGGGACCUUGGCCUCACUUGAGGCUAGCCCUCACUAGCCUGUGCUUGUGGCCAGUCGAGGCUAAUGACCAUCGAAGGGAGGAAUAAGGAAAAAGAAAAAAUAAUAAUAAAAUAUUGACAAAUCAAGAUGAGCAAUUUUGAAAAAUGUUUUCACUUUCUUAGAUUAGGGAAUGCACUUUCUUGAUUUUAUACAUGGAUAUUUUAUUUGACCGGAAAGUAUUUUUAGUUGACUAAUCAUUUUCAAGGAACUACACGGGUGAAAAAUGGAUUUCUAGAAAACACUUUCCCUCAAACAAGUACACUAGAAGUUUUAUUUGUAUGUUCCAUUGAGUUGAAGCUCGAACUGAACAUGCUGGUGGUCACAGCGGAUCUCUGGCAAACUCUUCUUGUUAAAGCACCAUGCCAUGCAGCAUGAACUUGAAGUCAAUGGUCGACAAUUAUGCCACGCGAGCCAACACGAGCUUAAAGUUAAUGGUUGCGUUCAGCUGAUUUAUCUGGCUACUCAGUGCUACUCGAGGUUAAUCCAACGCAGCUAUACUAAACACGGUCUUAUUUGACUACUUGAAGUUAAUGGUCGACAAUUAUGACAUGCGAUGCAACACUAGUUUAAAGUUAAUGGUCACGUUCACCUGUCCAAUCCUGUUUCGCCCAAUACCAUCCAAAAUCGACAAUCAUAUAGUGCUUAUCUGAAGAAAAAAAUAAAAAUUAUAGAUCUAAGAAUCUCCAUUCUUUUGACUUUAGAAUCAAGCCAUUCUUAUCUGAAUCGACAAAGUUAUGUUCAUUUUCCUGAGCUAACACAGAACUAAAAUUUACUCGAUUUUAUGACUAAGUUUCCAUGUGUAUAAGUCACUCGUCCGAUCCUAUUGGUUGAAUAGUCGACCUUGGACUACAUCACAAUCGCUCUCGAUUUUUCAUAUCAUGAGGCCUUGUUGUGGAGCGAUAAGUCGUUUCCGCGUGGAAGUGAAAUUGAAAUUGGAUAUCAUAUUAGCUUAAAAAAUAUUAUCUUGUUCGGAAAAAGAAAUGUUUCAAUGGCUUAAGUCAUACCUACCAGCCAAAGCAUGUUCCUAUUACAUGGAGCCAAUGACCCAGGGGCCAGGCAUCGCACUACGGCCGCUAUCUGCUCGUCGUAAUUUUUUUUUACAUUUAUACUAGAGUACACGAAAUUUUCUCUGAAAUAUCUUUAUCUGCCCAAUUGAAGUUGUUUUGGUAGUAGAAUACUCUCUAUUUGCAAGGCUAAAAUGCCAAUUGAAGUGUUUUUUUUUUUUUUUUUGCUAUUUUAUUGGUGCUUCAGUCAAACACGUGCCGUGAAAAAGCUAGUCUACUUUAGUUUUAGUAUGGCAAAAGCCGCAAAGUUAGGCCUAAAAUUGACAGAAUUUUGAGAGCCUGAGGAAAAGAGUUGCUAAGUACUCUGAGAAAAAGAGACAAAUGCAAUAAAUAAAAAAUUAGACCGACUUUCAAGCUAUGUAUAGGAAGUGAUCGCACGCCUUGUGGCUGUAGAUUCACAAAGAGAGAUGGAUUACUUGGUUCUGAUCCUGUGUUUGCACCUCCUCUGGGGCUUGUACCAAGCUCUCUCUUACUUCGCCAGGGGUGGCCGAAGAGCUCGGCCCUCCAACCUCCCCCCAGGUCCACGGCCUCUUCCAAUCAUUGGCAACCUCCUCCAGCUCGGAGACCUUCCCCACAAGUCCCUCGCCAACCUCGCUCAAGCUUACGGCCCCAUCAUCAAACUGGAACUCGGCUUUGUGACCACGGUGGUGAUCUCUUCACCCGCGCUCGCCAAAGAAAUCCUCCAAACCCACGAUGCGGUCUGCUCGAAUCGCAUGGUCCCUGAUUGCGUCAUGGCCCUUGACCAUGACAAACUAAGCUUGGUCUGGGUACCCGUAUCUCCUUUCUUCCGAUACCUGAGGAAAAUAUACAACUCGCAUAUCUUCUCCAGCAAGAAACUCGAUUUGAACCAACACGUGCGCAGCAAGAAAGUGCAAGAAUUGGUCAGCUUUGUUAGGAAAUACGCGUGCGCUGGCGAGGCGGUGAAUAUCAGCGAGGCAGCUUUUAGGACCAGCCUUAACGUGCUAUCGAGCACGAUUUUCUCUUUGGACACGAUGGAACCUUUGACUCCAGCCAGAGAGCUGAAGGAAGUGGUGUGGCAAAUCAUGGUUGAGGUUGGAAAGCCUGACCUGGCAGAUUACUUUCCUGUGCUCAAGAAGAUCGGCCCUCGUGGUCCGAAGCAUCACCUCGAAGCACAUUUCAAGAAGAUAUUCAACAUCUUUGACGACCUGAUCCGGAGAAGGUUGCAGCUGAGGAUGGAUACUGGCUCGAUUAAGCAUAACGAUGUUUUGGAUAAUCUUCUUGAUUUAGUGGAAGAUGAAAAUGAGACCCUGGACAUGUCCUUAGUCAAGCAUCUACUACUGGUACUGUGUCCUUGUCUCAUGCCUCCUUGUUUGUGAUGAUUAACAUCUAAUUUCUAGGUACAAAAUCUUUGAUUUGCGACAUCGGUCAUGCAGGACAUAUUCGUUGCCGGUAGUGAAACCACUGCGAGUACUCUGGAGUGGGCGAUGACAGAACUACUUCGCAACCCAGAAAAGCUAUCAACAGCCCAAGCCGAGCUCCAUCAAGUCAUUGGCAAAGGCAAGCAGAUUGAAGAGGCCGAUAUCUCUCGCUUACCCUACUUACAAGCUAUCGUAAAGGAGAAUUUCCGACUUCACCCGUCAGCUCCUCUCCUUGAUCCUCGGAAAUCCGGAGAAGACUUCAUUGCAGGCGGUUUCACAAUUCCAAAGGGUGCACAAAUCCUCGUCAAUGUAUGGGCGAUCGGUCGAGAUCCUAGCGUCUGGGAUGAUCCAGAAAAGUUCAUGCCCGAAAGGUUUCUUGGAUCCAAUAUCGAUGCCAGGGGACAAAACUUCGAGCUCCUACCUUUUGGUGGCGGCAGGCGGAUUUGCCCGGGAUUGCCAUUGGCCAUGAGAAUGUUGCCUUUGACGCUCGGUUCACUCAUCAAUAUUUUCAAUUGGAGGCUCGAAGAUGGUGUUACCCCUGAGAACAUGAACAUGGAAGACAAGUUCGGAAUAGCCAUCCAAAAGGCUGAAUCUCUAAAAGCUGUGGCCAUUCCUAUAUGAAAGAAGAAAAAGAAAUGCAUGUUGGGGUUACAUUCUACGUAAUUAUGAUAUAUUAUGUUCGUCAUGGUCUAUUCACAGAAAAAAGAGUAUAAAAUAUUUUUGGUAAAAUGGAUAAAUUCUCUUGAAUUUAGAUCCGGCAAAACCAUGAUAUUAGUGAAUAUAAUUUCCAGUUUCCAUGAUGAUAAAAAAAAAAAAUUAAUGGUGUGUGAUGAUGGUGAAUUUAAUAGAACUUUGUGGCAGGUGGCAAGCUGUUGCUUGACCAUUGUCUUUUAUUCUAAUCAUUUACCGUUUAAAUUUAUUUGGUUUAACAUCGUAUUCAAGACAAAGGUUGUCCACUAGGAGAAAAACGUUAUCGGAUUAUUUUUGGUCAAUAACUUUAUCAAAUUAGCAGAAUCAAAUAUCUUCUUCUCCUCAUAUCUAGAAGCUUCAAUUACUUUAUACCCUCCAAAUUCAACAUCCGGUCUUUUGUGAUUGUAAAAUUCUUUUAUAACCUGCCCAAAAAUAUAAAUGAAAAAUUCUGGAUGUAUCAAUUCCUAAUAACUUGUUUGUAACUCACCAAUACUUUUACAAAGUUACCAAAUUUUUCUUAUAGUAUAUAGAUUAGAAAUGUUUGUACUAUUUUACAAACUUUUAUCUAUAUAACUACCAGUGUUUAAAAUUAUUAAUUUUUAUAUAAAAUUACUUACACAAUCAAAGUGAUUGUCAACUUUUGUCAAAUUAGAUUAUCACUAAGUUAAUUGGGAUUCACUUACCAAUGUCUGUUUUUUGAGUUUACCAACUUCUCUAUUAAGCUACUAAUUUUAUUGCUUCAAUUAACAACCCUUUAUAUUUAACUCUUUUUUAAAAGUCAUCAAUCUAAAUUAGCCAACUUUUCUUCCAUUAAAUGUGGCAUCGUAUAGGACUAUUAAUUCUCAUUGAGUUACUCACCUUUUUUUUUUUUUUUUUUUUUAUAAAUUUUCAAUUUUUGUUGUCGUCUGCAAAGAUUUAUUUGCAUUUCUUAAAAACUACUUAGGUCUACUUACUUUUUCGAGAAACUAUCUGUUAAAUAAGAGCCCAGAUAAAUGAGAAAUUAAGAAAUAAAAGAGGCCCAGCCGACUUCAGCCCAAAUAAACCUUUAAGAAGACUCCUUAAUUCUUCUUCAAGCACCACUCGUUAACUGGAGAGAGAAAAAGGCGGCCGGUCGUUGUAUUGCGGUGCUUGGUUGUAUUGCGAAAAAAUUGAAUAAUAAAAUAGACAGAAUAAAAAAUAAAUCGGACUUUACCAAAUAAAUAAAUAAAUCAGAUAUAAGAUUUACGUGGUUUAAUCAUAAUAACUUAUGUUUACGAAAAGAGCAUCAUCGAAUUUCACUAUAGACCAAACAAGACAAUAGAAAUCAUACACUAGAGUUACUUAAAAACUCUUAAGCUACAAUUACACUCAAGAACUCAGUGUUUAUCCCUAUUAAUUCUCGUAAAAUAAUAUCUCAAUCUCACAAAAAAAAAUUCAUGAAUCUUGCCACAACUUUUCACAGCUACAAAUAUUAACUUGAUGAAUGUAAUUCACAAGUUUCAUCUACGUGUCUUCAUCCACCAAGCCCUUGUACACAAACGGCGCUUCAAGUCUUCUUUCUUUCUCUGGACAUAAAGUCCAGCACGGAGACCGCACUGCUUUCGAUCAACAACGGCGUGCUCCUGCGGCAAGAAGACAAAUAUAUAAAUAUAAUAUGCAUGGCGCGUACUGCAGCCAGCUUCAACUCGGAAUAGGAAACUUGGACACUUCGGUCGACAAGUCCAACUUGGACUUUGCUAUUUGGUCCCUUGGCCGACUCAAGCAAGGAAUUUCCUUGUUUGUGCCCAAUCAGUAAGCCCACACUUCUUUUUUGAAAAUCAAUUUCCACGGUCAAAGUCCAACAAACGCUUUUGGACUUAAACAUGGAAAUAACAGGCCAACUCCAAAUCUUGAAAAGCAAACCAAUCGUGUCCUACUUUGCUUGAUUUCAUAGUUCAUAAAUUAUUAUCUAUUUCAAAUAAUUUCAUUUAAUAGGCUCAAAAUCAAGACAUAUUUUAAUAGAUUAGAAAACAUCAAUUAAUGCCAGAAUAUGCCUUUUGCUUGCGGCGAGAGUUUCUCACUGUCUUUAUCUCUUACAAGUUGAACUUUCGUUCUAGGAGUCAAAAUUGUUGCCCUUGUUGUAUUGGCUUCACCGGUGACGCUCUGGCCAAGUUUAAGCUGUCCAAUAGAGAGAUAAUUAGAUCUCUCAUGUCCCUAUGAACAUGUAGGAUAUAACGGAUUGUGAUUUGGACAUCCCAUUUGAGGGAAAUCGAUUUUUUGAAAUUCUUGGCACAUGCUGGACGGUAACUUGACCACCGAUAUUCGGUGCUCAAUUUUUUCAGUUGCCAGCUAGAUUUUGGGCCAACCAAAUUUAGGGUUUUUAUGUACUUUGAAAGGGCUUUCUUUUGACAACAAACACACUUGGAUUUGAAUUCGGUAGAGAGAUAUAGCACGAAAAAGUUUAUCGUGCAAAUGGCUACUUGUCUUUAGUUCAAAAAAAAAAAAAAUGCUACUUGUCAUGUGAGUGGUCGUUUAUUCCUUACUCCCAUCUAUAAGGAUGGCAUCACUUUAUUCUUUAGGAUAUUUCCACAUCAGGUAUGCUAAAUUAUGAUGAGUCUUGUCAAGACCUAUACUUCUCAAGACAGAUUCAUUUAUUAUCUAUGAAUUGUUUAAGGCAAUCUAGAUAAAAGUUAGGAAUUGCCACUAGCCUCAUUUUUUAUGGUUAGCUAGAAAACUCAAUUACGGAUCGUGAGUGGUCCCUCGAUUUCUACACAACUAGAAAUUCUAGGGUUUGACGACUUAGAUUACACUAAUAUUUCUAUUAACACAUUUUCGAUACCUAAUAAUUUGUCGUGUUUUCUAAAGUGUCCAUGCGUGUCUUUUAACUUUUUCGUGUCAAUAAAACUAACUAGGUGAUCAUGUAUGGAUGGUCAAUUUCAUACCAUUCUACUUCUAUUAAAAGAGAGAAAAAAAAACAAUCAAUUGAAAUUUAAAGACAAUGCAGUAAGUAAACACCCAAAAAGCAGUUUAAGGAAAAAUGUAAAUCUAAUAUGCAAUCCUAAACGAAAAUUGAAUCAAAAGGAAAAAAAAACCCAUAACUCGUCGAGCAUUUAUACAACACAAGAUAACCCGAAACAUAUAUCGGAGAAUAAAUGGUACAAAAACAAGAUUAGAUUGGACUUCGACCAUUCAUCGUCUUCAUGUCUUGGGGGGGACCUCCACUUCCAUGGACCUAUCUAAGCCUAAUCUAGAGCUAAGACUAGGUAUAUAUAAUGUGAAAGAAACAGUUACCAUUACAAACAUAAAAAAAAAAAAAAAAAAAAACAUAAUCACAAAACAAACAAGAAUAAUCAGGAAAUGAGGAUAGCAUGCAUAAUUGAUUAUGUUUGGCUCAAGAUCGGCAUUUGUGAUUCAUGCGACAAUCCUUCUAGGAUGCCUACCCCAAUUCAUUUUUGUGGCUUAUAGCUAUUGGUCACCAUUUGUGUUCUCGCACAAUAGCCAAAGCUAAAAAGCCCCUAAAACAAGUUUUAAAUGUGACCCAAAAAUAUCCCACGAAUUCAUGUAUCGCAUCUAAAAUCACAUGCAUAUUUGAAAGUAAAAAUGUAGGCAGGCCCUCAAGCCUUGAUUCUCAAUCAAUCAAGCAAUUUUAGCGAGCUAACACUGGAUCACUUAUUCAAUUAACAAGUGCCAAACACAAUCACAGAAACCUAAGUCUAGUUUGAUUCACACAAAUCUACACAAAAAUGUUAAGAUAGGACGAUGCAAUUCACUUCACGAAAUGCAGCAACAUGAACAUGUCUUCACACACACGAUUUUUUUAUAAUUAUGGUUGUAAUUAUGGUUAAUGGAUCAACGAAUGCCAAUAAAUUAAGGUACGUCUUUUCUAUUCACGUAUCUCUUUUGGAUUUAUAAAUUUCUUAAACUUUUUCGUUCACGUAUCUAUUGAAUUCAUGAAUUUCCUAGAUUCAUGUAUCUUUUAGUUCAUGUAUUUAUUGAGUUCACGAAUCUCUUGAAUUCACGUAUCUCUGGAUUCGUGAAUCUCUUGAAUUCAUGUAUCUCUUGAUUCAUGAAUUUCAUGGAUACACGCGUCUAUUUAAUUCAUGUAUCUCUUCUGUACAUGAAGUAAAAAUCUCUAUAAAUAGAUGGGAGCAUAGAGCUUCAUCAUGUUUUUGGUUUUUCCGACUCGAUUCCAAAAAGGCUCUGAUACACUUUUUUACUCUUCUGAUUUUUCUGAGUGUGCUGGUUCAAUUGAACAGUUCCACUGAGUCCUGUUUGCAUAGUGCUAAUCCAAACAGGUUCGAGGUGUUGUAUCUUGGGAGGCAUAGUUCGUGAAUCUGCGGAGCACCAUUGGUAGGAACUAAUUGCCUUAAGGAGAUUCAGAUAUCCGUACCUCACCUCCAAUUUCAUGUUAUGAUUGUAACAAACAGUUUGUCUUUUCUUGGGAUUAUUUUCCAACAAUCUUAAGGCGAUUAUCACUCACUAUUUGUUGUUCUUCUCAGAUUAUUGAGAUGGCUUAAAACAAUCAAGUGCCUUUUAAUGUCCCGAAUGUUUCAGGUGAUGUUCCUAUGGUCGAUUCAACCGUUGCUAUGGAAGAUGUUCAACCCUCGGGGUUUGAAUUUGUAGCAAUCAAUGCUACGAGCCUUUGGGCCAACACCAAUUUUGGUGGUGCGGGUGCAAGUCAUACAACUGGUAUGCCUCAGACUAUUUUUUAGAACAGUAUAGGCCAAAUGGCUUUUGGCUCUGGUUCUGGAGGACCUUGCCUACUGUGAUGACAACACUUCCAGUUACAGCUAAUGAGAAACCGGAGAAAUUCACCGGAGUGGGCUUUAAAUAGUGGCAGCAGAAGAUGUUCUUCUAUCUGACCAUGCUCAAUCUGACGAAAUAUUUAUCGGAGGUGUGCCCGAUAAUUAGUCCAAAUGAGCAAGAUGUCACGACGCUCAGUGCGUUGGAGGCUUGGAAGCAUGUGGACUUCUUAUGCCGAAAUUAUAUCCUUAAUUGUUUAGUGAAUUCUCUUUAUAAUGUUUAUUGUAAUAUUGAAUCUGCUAAAUAGUUAUGGGAGUCCUUAGAGAAAAAAUACAAAACUGAGGAUGCUGGCACCAAGAAAUUUGUGGUUGCCAAAUUCUUGGACUACAAGAUGGUGGAUUCUAACUUUGUCAUGAGUCAGGUUCAAGAAUUAUAAUUAAUACUGAGUGACAUCUCUGCUGAGAGAAUGAUACUUAGUGAAUCAUUCCAAGUGGCGGCUAUGAUUGAGAAACUGCCUUCGAGCUGGUUAGACUUCAAAAAUUAUUUGAAGCACAAACGAAAGGAGAUGAGCCUUGAAGAUCUCAUUCUGCGCCUCAAAAUCGAGGAGGACAAUAGAAGGAGUGCGAACCCUUUUUCUGAGCCAAAGGCCAACGUUGUGGAAUCUUCCAAAUCCAAGCAAGAUAGAAAAAGAAAGAUGUAUUUUCAAGGAAAAGGCAAGCAGAAGGAAUAGUUCCAGAAAUUCCAAGGAACGUGUUUUAUAUGCAACAAGCCUGGCCAUAGUGCUAAGGAUUGCAAGAAGCACCCGAAAAAGCGCAAGAACGAUGGUGCGGCCCAGCAACUGAAUUUGACAGAAAAUGACAAUGUUGAGAGACUAUCUACUGUGGUAAUGUCUGAAGCAUCUCUGGUGUCGAACACUAAUGGCUGGUGGCUAGACACAGGUGCCACAAAUCACAUAUGUGCAGAUAAACAUAUGUUCUCAUCUUAUGAGAAGGUUGAAGAAGACGAGAAGCUUUAUAUGGCUAACUCUACAUCAGCAAAGAUUGCCGGAAGAGGAAAGGUGAUCCUAAAGUUUACAUCUGGCGAGGAGGUCACCUUGCUGAAUGUGCUGCAUGUACUAGAGAUUCGGAAAAACCUAAUCUUUGGCCCCAUACUUGUCAAGAAGGGUUUCAAAGUUGUAUUUGAAUCUGACAAGUUUGUACUUUCAAAAUGAGGGAUGUAUAUGGGGAAAUGGUACUUUUGUAAUGACAUUUUAAGGCCAAUGUGGCUGUCAUUGAUGUAAACUCAAAGUAUGUGUACCCAAAGACUAUUAAUAAAGAAAAGUCUUCAGUUUACAAUGUUAUGUCUCUUUAUCUAUGGCAUGGUAGAUUAGGAUAUGUAAGCUAUGGUACAAUGAAGAGAAUAGCAAACUUGGGGUUAAUUCCAAGAUUUGAGUUGGAUACCCGUUACAAGUGUGAGACUUGUGUUGAAGCAAAAUUUGCCAAGAAACCUUUCAAAUCUAUUGAAAGAACAAGUGAACCUCUACAUUUAAUCCAUAGUGAUCUAUGUGAUUUAAAGUUUGUAGAAAAUAGAGGUGGAAAGAAGUACUUCAUCACAUUUGUGGAUGACUGUACUAGAUUUUGCUAUGUUUAUUUACUAACUAGCAAAGAUGAGACUAUGAGCAUGUUUGUCAAGUAUAAAAUUGAAGUUGAAAACCAACUUGAUAAACGGAUCAAAGUGCUUAGGUCCGAAAGAGGAGGAGAAUAUAGUUCAAUCAAUUUCAAAGAGUUUAGUGCUACUUUUUGAAUAAUUCUUCAAACAAUUGCACCUUAUACUCCACAUCAAAAUGGAGUUGCUGAACGAUUGAACGAGACACUAGAGGAGAUGGCUAACACCAUGCUUUUGAGUUCAGGUUUACCUCAGAACUUGUGGGGGGAGGCAGUUUUAAUUGCAAAUUUUAUUCUUAAUAAGAUACCCCACAAAAGGCUAGGUAAAACUCCAUACGAGUUAUGGAAUGAAAAGUUGACAUCCUACAAUUUUCUAAAAAUGUGGGGGUGCAUAAUGUGAUUUAUAAUGGUAAGUCGACACAUCGUCAUAGACACAAUACUGUAAAGCAGUUGCUCUCAAAUAGAAUCAUUUCUUUAGACUUUGUAAAGUCAAAGGAAAUUAUUGCGGAUCCGCUGAUAAAAGGUUUGUCAAAAGAGCAAAUAAACUAUACGAUUGGAGAUCCCAUGGACUAGGUUCAAUAGGACAACGCAAAUUUUGGAAACUCUAGUGUAAGCACUGCCUCCCAUUCCUAUGAUGCAACAGUGCUUUCCUACAGCGUUAUUAAGGGUACGCUAUGCGUUUAAUGAUUCCUAUAACUUGGGAUGUAACAUCCAAGUGAGAUAUGGUAGGAUAUCUUUAAUAGGAAUGCACCUAUAUGCGUGGAGCUAGCCGACUCUAUAAAAAUCUUUAAAGGCUAGAUUUUCUAAAGCACGCAUAAAUCCCGAGAGGUUCAGGGCCUAAACAACGAACACAACUGAGAACCAAUCUUGAAUUGGAAAUACUCUAUGUGAGGUUUAUUGUCUAGGCUUACAAAAACAACUGGCGAUUCAAGGCUUAAUCCAUCGACUAGUUAAGUAAGUCCGAUAGGCUUUCACUAAAGAAGGUUCAAGGCGAAAGCUACCUAUCUUAAUGCAGUGUAUUUCAACAGGUAUGCUCAGAUUCCUUCGAGUCAAAAAUGUUUUGUCGAUCCAUUAAUGUGGGGGAUUGUUAUAAUUAUGGUUAUAAUUAUGGUUAAUGGAUCAACGAAUGCCAAUAAAUUAAGAUACGUCUUUUCUAUUCACGUAUCUCUUUUGGAUUCAUGAAUUUCUUAAACUUUUCCGUUCACGUAUCUAUUGAAUUCAUGAAUUUCCUAGAUUCAUGUAUCUUUUAGUUCAUGUAUUUAUUGAGUUCACAAAUCUCUUGAAUUCACGUAUCUCUGGAUUCGUGAAUCUCUUGAAUUCAUGUAUCUCUUGAUUCAUGAAUUUUGUGGAUACAUGCGUCUAUUUAGUUCAUGUAUCUCUUAUGUACAUGAACUAAAAAUCUCUAUAAAUAGAUGAGAGCAUAGAGCUUCAUCAUGUUUUUGGUUUUUCCGACUCGAUUCCAAAAAGGCUCUGAUACACUUUUCUACUCUUCUGAUUUUUCUGAGUGUGCUGGUUCAAUUGAACGGUUCGACUGAAUCCUGUUUGCAUAGUGCUAAUCCAAACAGGUUCGAGGUGUUGUAUCUUGGGAGGCAUAGUUCGUGAAUCUGCGGAGCAUCAUUGGCAGGAACUAAUUGCCUUAAGGAGAUUCAGAUAUCCGUACCUCACCUCCAAUUUCAUGUUCUGAUUGCAACAAACAGUUUGUGUUUUCUUGGGAUUAUUUUCCAACACGAUUAACCUCGUAAACGACGAUCAUUUGGUGCAACUUAUACCUAGUUAGAAAACUUGUGAUGCAUACUACAACUUCCGUGAGGGAAGAAAAUCCAAUUGAACACAUUGAAGACCUCAUUUCAAAGCAAACAUGAGUCGGACUAAAACAAGGCAGACUAGUCCAUGGAUGAUUUUUCAAGGUUUUGACUAAUCAAAUCUACUUUAAAAAUUCUGGAUAGAAAAAGAGAUAUGAUAUGACCAAUACAUUUUCGUACAAUUUCUGUGAAGAAACCAUAUCCAAAAUCUCAACAACAAAAUCAAUAGAAAAUUAGCAAAUAGACAGUACAUCCAAAAUCUCAUUUGGGAAUGCCCAACCAAACAAUGUGUUGUUAUAUGAGCCAACGAUCUUGUAAUCCUAACAAUUAAACAAGAAUUGACAUUAAAACCAAGUAAAAUACUACAUCAAUUACGAAUCAACUAAACUACACUUGAUCGCUAAAAAAACAACUCCUACGCAAUAACAAAUUGCUCCCUCAAAGUGAUUACUCAAAUCUAAACGCAAUGCGGAACCCACACGCACCACCCUAAAAUUUCGCUCUAACUAAACCAUUGCUCCAAAUUGACUCCUGUCAAAUCCACACCUAUAAACUGCCAUAAUCCAUCAUAUUCAUUAAAUUCCAAAGCUCCACAACUCAAAAAUCGAAUUUAGCAGCUCAAAUUUCAAAACUCCAAAUUUAAGUCCUGACCCCAAAAAUUACUCUAAUUAGACAAACAAUGGGUGCAAAUACUUACCUGACGUUGCGAUACAAAGAAAAUUCAGCUUGGUGAGACCUCCGUAGCAUUAUAUGCAAAAUCCCUCUUCUUUCUUCCUCCUCCUUCUUUCUUUCUUACCAACUUCCUCUCUUUCUUCCUCCUCCUUCUUUCUUCUCAACAUGCUCUCUGCCGAUGGUCACAUUUUUUUUCCUUCUAUAACACUUCUUUUUCUUUUUCUUUUCCCUUCAUUUUUUUGGAUGCCACCAAUACUUGACUUGGUCAAAAGAAUGCAAUAUUACAACUUCUUCUCCCUCGCAAAGCUGAAGCCAUACAUAAAUAAGUCGUUUCACUAUUACAAAGGUUGGAAAAGGGGCUUAUUAUUGUGUGGGCUACCGAAUGAGAUUCUACCAUUUGGGCUAAUCCGAAUGAGUUCAUGCUAGAGAGACUUCUAGAUCUGGCAUAUAUCUCUAGGGACACAACCUUGAGCUCCUACAGCUCGAUGGCAGGUCCGCUCAAUAACGCAUCUGGGCUUGUCCGUCCGGGAUUGCCACUGGCCCCGAGAAUGUCAUUAUUAAUGCUAGGUCCGCUCAUUAACGCAUUCAAUUGGAGGCUCGAAAAUGGUGUCGCACCAGAGAACAGGAACAUGGAAGACAAGUUCAGGAUAACAAUGCAACAAGCUUAACGUGCAAAAUCCAUGGCUGUACCAAUUUAACUUAUGUGAAGGUGUUAUGUCACAACACAACUGAGUAUGCGCCCAUUACAUAAAAAAGUAGCGAGACCACUCAUCUCGAAUCAUUUCCUGUAUAUGAUUGAUUCUUUGCAAGAAAUCAUUCAUUAUUCAUGGAAUGUGCCUCGUUUUAGGGUUUAAGAUAGAAACUCUUUGAUAAUGAUUCGAUCAAAAAAUAUUGUUGGUGCGUUUGUAAUUGAUUAGUUUUGAAAUUGAGGAAGAUUUGUUUAUUGAGUGAAGAUAUUGGAGGGUGAAAUGAACUUGCAGAAGAUGACAAAUUGGCCCUACAUCAAUUUUCUUUAUCUUUUCCCUUGUCUCCAUUUGCGUUUUGUCCAUCCAUCACUAAAUCUUGAUUUGUGUACUUUCCAUUCAACAGGUAAAAUAUUUUCCACCUUGAGGACAUAGCAUUGAAGUGGAUCUAUUCUGGUUGAUGACACGAUAAGGCUGCAGCUGUUUUUCGUCUCCUGAUCUGGAAAGGUCCAUAACCCAGAUAAGUCUUACGUAGGCCCGUUUUCACGAUCAAAAAUCACCAUGGAUUCAAGGUCCCGGCAAGUAUUUGUCCUCUAACCAAAAUAAACAGCUUUCCUCGUUGACAUGCAGAGCGUCAAACGAUUAUUUACCAGGACUGUACUGGAAUGACGUUUCAUUAUAAUAACAUUUUAUUGCAUAUACCUUGCGGUGUUAAAAUUGAUCCACCGCUUACAAAUUCUUUAUCUUAUUUUCUAGUGUGAGACAAUUAUGCAAGCAAUCUCUCUCUCUCUCUCUCUCUCUCUCUCUCUCUCUCUCUCUCUCUCUCUCUCUCUCUCUCUCUCUCUCUCUCUCUCUCUCUCUCUCUCUCUUCAUCCGUCGUACUUCUUUGUUUUAAAAGAAGAGUUUGCAUGGAUGCAUGUAUGUAGAUAUGUAACCUACAGGUACCAAUACUUUCGCAUACUGUCUGCAUACGAAUCUAAUACUACGUAAAGCAUGCAUUUUUAUUGCUAGUCGACAUCGUCCUUGACUCUGUAAUAAUGCAGUUCAUCUCUAGACACGGACUUCCAUGAAAUUUCCAUGCUUUAGCAAUAUUUGCCGUUAAGAUUGCUUAAAGCCCUGUUCGUGCAGAGUCCAUCCCUCAUCCCGUUCUCGAGGGCCAACUACUUGUCUUUGUUCCUCUCAAGGCUUGUCAAUAUUGAAUUUUGAAAUGGUAGUUUUAAUUACCGACUUAAAUUGGUUUAUUUUGUCAUUUCCAGACAAAUGCUUGUAUUACCACCGCAUAUUACUGCUUGUGUUGCUACCGUGCGAACUUAGAAUCUGUAAACAGUAUCGUUGACUCCUGUUCUAACUGAAAUGGAAAGAAGACAUUGAAGCAAGCAUACUGAGUUGAUCGUCAAGGAUCAUCAAUAAUCAGACAAUGAUGUUCAAUGCAACUAUGGUUAACCGUUUCACUGAGUGAUUUCCUUAAACUAAUACCAAUGCAACCAAAUUGUUUCAGGGUGCCGGACACAGGAGCCGGUUUCACCGGAGGAAUAGAAAGACUGCAGUUCUCAAUGGAUUGCAUUACGGUCCCUCUCAAUUCGAUGUAUCGUGAGGGCUUGUUGUGGUCUCGUAGCUUUGUCAAAAUACAUCCACCAUUGUUCUAGUGCUGGUUUAUAUGUCAUAACAAGUGGAACGAUAAGUCGUUUUAUUGUGAAAGUGGGCAAAAGUACACCAUAAAUGCCAAAACUUAGCACGAAAGGGACACUUAAGUGGCAAAACUUUGGAAAUGUACACUUAAGUGCCAAAAUUGGGAAUAAAAUGGAUCACUUAAGUAUCACUCUNNNNNNNNNNNNNNNNNNNNNNNNNNNNNNNNNNNNNNNNNNNNNNNNNNNNNNNNNNNNNNNNNNNNNNNNNNNNNNNNNNNNNNNNNNNNNNNNNNNNNNNNNNNNNNNNNNNNNNNNNNNNNNNNNNNNNNNNNNNNNNNNNNNNNNNNNNNNNNNNNNNNNNNNNNNNNNNNNNNNNNNNNNNNNNNNNNNNNNNNNNNNNNNNNNNNNNNNNNNNNNNNNNNNNNNNNNNNNNNNNNNNNNNNNNNNNNNNNNNNNNNNNNNNNNNNNNNNNNNNNNNNNNNNNNNNNNNNNNNNNNNNNNNNNNNNNNNNNNNNNNNNNNNNNNNNNNNNNNNNNNNNNNNNNNNNNNNNNNNNNNNNNNNNNNNNNNNNNNNNNNNNNNNNNNNNNNNNNNNNNNNNNNNNNNNNNNNNNNNNNNNNNNNNNNNNNNNNNNNNNNNNNNNNNNNNNNNNNNNNNNNNNNNNNNNNNNNNNNNNNNNNNNNNNNNNNNNNNNNNNNNNNNNNNNNNNNNNNNNNNNNNNNNNNNNNNNNNNNNNNNNNNNNNNNNNNNNNNNNNNNNNNNNNNNNNNNNNNNNNNNNNNNNNNNNNNNNNNNNNNNNNNNNNNNNNNNNNNNNNNNNNNNNNNNNNNNNNNNNNNNNNNNNNNNNNNNNNNNNNNNNNNNNNNNNNNNNNNNNNNNNNNNNNNNNNNNNNNNNNNNNNNNNNNNNNNNNNNNNNNNNNNNNNNNNNNNNNNNNNNNNNNNNNNNNNNNNNNNNNNNNNNNNNNNNNNNNNNNNNNNNNNNNNNNNNNNNNNNNNNNNNNNNNNNNNNNNNNNNNNNNNNNNNNNNNNNNNNNNNNNNNNNNNNNNNNNNNNNNNNNNNNNNNNNNNNNNNNNNNNNNNNNNNNNNNNNNNNNNNNNNNNNNNNNNNNNNNNNNNNNNNNNNNNNNNNNNNNNNNNNNNNNNNNNNNNNNNNNAAAUUCAAUACAUAUGUCACUGGGAUCAAAACUCAUGAAAAGAAUAUAUGUAUAAGAUUAACAAAGCAGCCCAUCGAAAUAAGAUUUGAUUUAUACUAGAUUGCAGACACAUAACCAUCCGGGGGCAAGGGCCUCAAGCCCUAUCCCAAUAUUGGGCAGGGGCUCGCGGGCCCUCGCCACUUCCCCAUUGUUGCCGGAAAGGCCUAGCGACGGUGGGGGGAGCUUCAACCAAGUUCCCCGGGCCCUAGUUAGGGUUGGGCAACGGGGCAAGGCUUCGGGACCCCUCGUUAAUGUUAAGUUAGGGGUUGGGACCUGGACCGACCCUCCCCCUUCCUUCGCCGACCUUUCCCAAAAGAAAGGGGGAGGUGGGGGGGAGGGGAAUUAAACCUUCAACCCCCUUCUUUUGCCCCUUCCCUCCCCCCCCCCCCCCUUUUUAAAUUUUAAGUUUUUUAUUUUAAAGAAUAUUUUUAAUAAAUUGUUUUAAAUUUAAUUUUUUAUAUUAAUUAUUUACACAUUAGAGACAAAACAACGUCGUUUUAGCUUUUUCUCGCGCACAUCAGCAUACAAAACAACCUUGUUUUGCACUCACCUCACUAGAAAAUUGUCACGUCAACAAUUUGGCUAGAGUGACCCUUAAGUGAUCUAUUUUACUCAAAUUUUGGUACUUAAGUGUACAUUUCCAAAGUUUUGGCACUUAAGUGUCCUUCCGUGUCAAGUUUUGGCACUCCAAAUGUCCGUACCUUCGUGAAAGUGAAAUUAGAAGUGGGAUAUCAUAUCAGCUUAAAAGAUAGUAUCUUGUGUGGAAAAAGCAAUGUUUUCUUGGUUUGGGUCCUAUUUACCAGCCAAAGCAUGUGAUCUUAUCAUAUGGAGCCAACUAGGGGUAACCGAUUCCAGAUUCAUUAUAGAUUCUGUUUAAAACCUAAAACUUACCAUCAAGUACAAAUUCCUCAUUUUUUGAAAUCUAAAACCUACCCAUCGGAACCUAAAGAUUCCAGGAUCUAACAAGUUCUUUUUUCUUUUUUCUUUUUUCUUUUUUAUUAAGCAAAAUAAAAAUAAAUGCAACAAUAAAAAUGAAAAAAGGAUUCUAUUAUCGAUUUCGUUAAAACAAGUGUCCAUAUGCUAAGACCCAUCAAAUAAAACAUCAAAGUCUUUAAUGUCAAAGAAAGAUUGUUGGACAACAAUUUCGGAAGUUCAAUACCAAAUGCAUGAGUGGAGGUUCCCCUCUUAGUGCAUAAGGGAAUAAUUUACAUAUCGAUGAACUCUCACCUAAAGUCAACACAUUUACCAAUUAUGAUGACUUUAGACACAUCCGCCUCCUUAGUGAGUUUUAGUCACUACUUCUCUCCAGGUUUCUGCAAUGAAAGAAAAAGAGACAACUAUAAGUUUGGACAAUACCAGCGCAUCAUAAUCAAUUAAGAAAGUGAGAACCGAGAACAUGGCCCAAAAGUCAGGCAUAUGCAAUGUGUGCUCCAUUCCCGAAUAGACCCUUAAUGAAACAAGUAUAAGCAGAGGGCGAAAAGAAUCAAAUCUCAAGAGACCAAUAUAAAUCGAUGCAACUAAGGAUUCACUAUUUGACAGACACUAGCAAUUUGAAAACCCAUACAGUAAAAAACCAAAUCCCAGUCCAAUGAUCUAGCAAGGGAAAGAAGAAUCAAAUGGUCUAGCAAGUGAGUUGUCUUUUUGACUCCCCUGCCUACGUGCAGGUCAUGAACUACUAAAGACAAAUUCCCAUUGUUUCAGUCAGAGGUACUAGAUGUGACAAAUUAGAGAAUCAUUAAAUACACAUAACAGAACUUGAUAUUGUGCAUACUACCAUGCAACAAAAGUUAUCGCCUGACGGAAAGACUUUGAAUGUGAGAAUAAUGAUUCUGUUCAGCAAUUUACUAGGAUCAGUUCAGCCAAGGGGGAAAAGGAAACUUGGGGAAGGACUAGCAGAUGGAGAGAAAGCCUACUGGAAUUAAUAUAUCAUAGCAGCACCUCAAAAUCGAGAUAGUCCAAUGAAUGUAACAACAUAAUUGCCAUCAACUAUGCCAGAGACCUGAUGCAAGCUUCACCUCACUAGUCACUAUUAUGCCAAUCAUUUUAGAACAGAGCAAAGGGAUACAUGAACAACAGAAAGAUGCGCAAAGCUAGACAUGAAGUAAGACAAUUCCAAUGAAUCAAGCCUUGAAAAUCAACUUUUGAUGAACAACAGAAAGUGCGCAACAUAGUUUUCAGGAUGAUUUUGGGACCCCCGGAACAUAGCAAGCUCCUAAAACUAAUUUAUCUCCUCUUAAAGCUGUGCUUUAACUUGUUUCAGCCGCCAAAGUCAUCAAGCUUCCAACUUUAGUACUACAUAGCAUAUAGAGAGUUACUUCCGUAGAUCUGAAAUCCAUUCCAUAUAUAUUAGCCAGCAAAUUCACUUCACAAAUAUAAUGAACAUGCGAAGUAAAACAUACCUUGAGCCUUGAGGAUAUGCAAAAUCUUGCUCCCCGUGAUGCUCUUCGCCUGGGCAAUCACGUGAGAGUCACGAAGAAUGACACCAAUCUGCGAUGGUGUCAAAACUUUCUUGGCGAACUUGCAGAUGUUCUCCUCAAUUUACAAAAGCUAAAAAACCGAACGAGUGAAUUCAAGUGAAUAGCGAAACCAAAAGGCUAAAACAGAACAACGAAACCGAAUUGUAUGCACUUGUUUAGUGUGCUGAAAAGAAACUGCUUUUUGUCCAAAAUGAAUAGAAAAAGAAAUACAUUCCUUGCAUUUUUUUUUUAACUUUUAGGUAGCAAUUUGCAGUAGAAAAAAUUAUACAACCGCCUGGUCCCGAGUGAAUGUUUGUCUCCGCACUCACCGUAAAAGAAAAAAAAAAUCAACAACAACAACAACCAAAGAGAGCGAGAGAUAGAGAGAGUGAGGGAGAGUUUCAACGAAGUGUCCUGAGAGGGAACAAAUUUGAAGCACUUGAGUGAUGAUGUUGCGCAGCUAUUGGAUGAUGGUCGUUGAGCCGCGGCCGACGUCGGUGACAGCAAAAGAUUCGAACAAGAACCACAGCGUCGCUGAGAGGAACAAGAACAACGAGAUGAAGGAGAACCACAGCGUCGCAGAGAAGUGGAAAGAAUGACAGCAUUGCAGAGCGAGAAGGACCAAGUGGAAGAAUGAAGGAGAAAUGGGUUCCCUCUUCUUGUUGUUGACAGAGAGGAAUGAGG
rnacentral:lncRNA from 1 species